GCAUUGGUGGUUAGGGGUAGAAUUCUUGCCUUCCAUGCAGGAGACCCGGGUUUGAUCCCUGGCCAGUGCA
rnacentral:tRNA from 1 species